AUCGUUGUUAGAACUUGAUUGAGUACUGUAUGGAUCUUGAGGUGUCAAAUACUAGUGACUAUAAUGUGCUUUGUCAACUGAAGAUGAUAGCAGAAAUAGACUCAAUCCUAAGAAGAGGAAGUAUGGCCUUCAUGAUGAAGCUACUCAUGGCUUCCUGCCAAACAAGGAGACCGGGUCAAACAAAUUUCAAGAAAGCCAAUCAGUCCCGCAAAGGGUAAUGGAGUUUGGAGCUCAAGUGUUAUUGAUAACAGUUUCUUGACCAACUAUGAUAUGCCUUCUCCUUUUGAUUUUCAGAGUUUUGAUCCAGAAGCUGUACAAGAACCAUAAAUGAC
rnacentral:lncRNA from 1 species